rnacentral:misc_RNA from 1 species
GAAAUAUUGACAUACACACGCACUUGGAAUGCCUUCCUUGAAGCCUUCGUCGCCUUGCGGUGCGGCCGGGGUCGUUUGUAUUCGCAAGGGUGCCGCUGAAGCGAUGGUGGCGGUGCCAGAGCUUACCGCUGCUGCCCUCGAGCUGCUCAAAAGUGGUGUCUUUCACGGUUCCAUGUGUGCCGAAGCAGCCGCCUCGAACAUACCGCUGUUAUCCCUUCCGCCGUCGAAGUGGUCGCACAUCUCACCCACGAGGCGUGGUCCUGUGUCAUGCUUUCUCUCUGCAGAUGCAUUGGUCACGGUCGGCCCGGCAGCCGAUGUGAAAGUGUCAGAGUUGGAAUUCGAUUCCAUCAGCACUGCGCGUCGGCUGUCGCUCUCCCUCAUCACAGACACGGAUAUCGCCGAUGAAUGUCAGAGUCUCACCAGCUCCGUUGACGGUAGAGUGUCCAUCUCCCUUCCCUACACUCUCUCUCGCAGCACCUGCAGCUUUCAGCACAAGUCACGCGACUUCUUUGCUGUUCGUUCUUGCAAAUGCGGUGCAUCCUGCGCAACCCCUACGUCCAUCGGCGCCGCAGCGGCUCGCACCGAGGCCACAGCAAACUCAGACGUCGUCACGGCAAUGAGCAACACCACGAACAUGUCGCCAGGACACUCCAUCAGCAGCUCUCGCAGCUUGCUUCGUUCCCCGCGGGCGCGUGUGUGGAGGACAGCGGUGCCGCAGAGCAACCGCCAUGUCGGCGCCAGCGUGCCUGGCCUGCUCGAGGAAACCGGGUAGGUGGAAGAGGCGAUCAGCGUGGUCUUGACGAUGGCCGACUCCGACCGCCACAUGUUUUCGUGGGCGGAGCUGAAAAGUCCACAUGCGUCAUCGAAGAGGAUAUCCACUUCAAUGAUGAUGUCGUCGCCUAACAUCACUUUCGCAGUGCGAAGCUGCAUAUUCUGAUUGUGUGUGUGUGCAGCCUCGUGUAUGCGUGCGUCCACAGAUAUGUUUCUCCCAGCGAAGGAGUCUUCUCUCUGCUUCUCCUGCUAUGUUUUCUGCGAGUGGAACCUCGUGCUUGGAAGGAGAGGGUAAUCGAUAUACUUUUCUUUCUCAUUUUUUUUAUUUCCGUGUUGCCUUUGUUUUUCUUUCGCUUCAUGUAUAGUUUUAGCUGGUGCGGCGUUCACGCAAGUGCCUGUGGGCGGGUGGGUGUGGAUGUGGGCUGUGCGUGGCGUGAGGUGAGGCAGGCAGGCUAUUUAACCGUAUGGUACUUUUUUGUUUCGACCAUUAAGCCCUUUUCUCUCUCCCUCUGCCUUCCACGCUGUUCAAGCGUGUGUGGGUGUGGGCACGCCCGCCCCCGUUUUCUCUCGUGUAAUAUGUACAUUAGUCAUAUCCAUGGUGCCCACGCACGAAGAAGCGCAUGAAAAAGGUAGCGAAAAGGAGCGGUGGAGGGAAAACACUAUGACGCACGUGCACGAACAGCGGUUACCUUUUUCCCCCUCCUCUCUGCACUUGCCUCUCCACCCACGCACCCAUCCAUCUCUUCCCCCCCCCAAAAAAAAAAAUAUAUAUAGAAAACGGUGGGCUGUUUAUCCUCCCUUGUUUGGGGGGGUUCGCUCUUCUAUAUGCGAUGAUCUUUCCGUUUUUUCUUGCUCCUCUGUGUGCCUGCUCACUCCUCGUUCUGUUUACCAUCUCAACCCAUCAUCGUACCCAUCCUUCUCUUCACUGCCUGCCUUAGCAUUAUUGUCGUAUUUCUCUUUUUUCGCCUUUGCGUUCUUCUCGCACCACUAUAUAUGUAUAUAUGUGUGUAUAUUUGUUGCUGUUAUAUGUUGUCCCGUCUCUGGCAUGCUUUGGUGUGCGCAGGGUCAGCGGAAUCGUCGCCAUCAUUGCAGCCUCUCCCCCGUGUGUCCACCGCCGGCGGCACGAAACAAGACAACAAAGAAAACGUCACUUUCUUUUUCGUUGGUGUUAUCUUUUUUUGGGGGGUUCUUCUUUUUCGUUGUUGUCGGUUUUGUUUUGUGGGUGAAAAGGGAGCAGCUCUCUGCGUGUUUUUCUUCAUCUCCUGAUAAUUUUGUUGUGCCAUGUGCUCUCUCUUUUUUUCCCAAUCGGAGCUUACUUCUGGCUCUCCGCCGCCUCUCCUCUCUCAGGCUUCUGUUCUUUUCCGGAAGAAAGAGGGGGCGCAUGACACCACGCACGUGUGUCAGAGAUCCGUGAUACAUGUAGCACUCCUUCGUGUGCCCAUGUUACCCUUUUUGGCUAUUUUUUCCGGCUUUUCGCUUCUGACGUUAUUAUUAUUCCCUCUGUUGCCUCUUGUAUCCACCGCACCACCACGACCCGCCUUUCCAGUCCCCUCGUCCCUCUCUGCUCCUUGCACUAAAGGUGAGCGUGUGUGAGAGGGGGUGCCUCUGAGGGUGUCAGCCUCUCGCACUGUUGUUUUGUUUGCCGUGGUGUAAAGCGUCGGUGUCAAGCAUGUGCCCCACUCCUCUUUCUUUUAUCUGUGUGUAAACGUAUUCUUCUUCCGAGCUGCACGAAGCAUGCUUCUGCUUUACUCCUCAUGUUCAGCCUCCCCUCUCCCUUUACAGUGUUGAGAGAGUGGAAUGUUCACUCCUGUAGAUGGCUUCGCUUACCUCCCCUCAUGCGCGCGCGUCGUCUUGGAUCUAUGACUUCACGAUUGCGCUCCAUAUGGUGAGGCUUUUCCGCUCCUUUUUCCUUGUCCGCCCUCUGCCUCUGCCCCCCGCCCCCCCCCGAUCCCUGUACGAGGCUUCUUCUUGAGCUCUCUCCUCUUCUUUGUUUUUUUCUUUGUUGUUUCACUUCGUUGUCUCCGAUAAUGCAUAGCAUACACGCAGGUAGGUGUAUGUGUGUCUCAGUAUGUGUGUGUGUGUUAUGGGUGCCCUUUUUCCUCCCUCCCUUCUCCUGGGUACUUUUUCAAGCGGAGAUGAAAGGGGGAGAAAGGGGCAUCUUCAUGUCCCGAGAGAUGCACACCAACCAGCACGCUCGCCUCCCUUCUCUUUCUUUCCUCCCUUUGUGCUUUUUCUUCGUCUUGGCAGCCCUCGCGAUGCAAGCGAAUAGAGUUCUAUAUAUCUAUACGUAUGCAUAGAUAGGUAUAAAUGCUCCUAUACCUUUUCGAUUGUGUUUUCUUGUCUGAUUCAUGUGCUGUAACUCUUCGGAGCUUUCUCUCUCUCCUCUCCCACAAGAGAGGAGAGCGAGGGGAAGGGGGAGGUACUAAAAGACGGUGCCGUUGAACACACAUCAAGAAAAAAAGCGUACAGACGAAGUCCGAACAAGAUAAAGAUGUCGGUGAGUCUGGCAGUGCCCGUUACUGCAGCCUUCUCCUUCCUCGUUCUCCUCCCCCCCCGCUUGCGCUCCCACUUCCUUCGCCCCAUGGGAGAAGGCUUACCUUUCACGUCUGUUUGUGUGUGGUGGCUAUGUGUGUUUGUCUUUUCUCUCUACCCCCCGCCAGCAUGCACUUGUGAACAUGUAUAUGCUCGUGCGUAAGUGAUGCAGCCGUCAGCGGAGUCU